GGCAACUUUGGUUUAUUUAACAAAUGCUCAGUGAGAUAUAUUCAUUAGUCACUGCAUUUAAUAACUGUCACAUAACUUUCUAUUUAUUGUACAUGAAGUACAUGGAAAAAAUGCUGAGAAAAGGAUCACACCCAUUUAACAACUUAGUAGUGAUAAAUUCUAGCAUACAGGAGCUCCUCAUGAUAGCCAGCAUCAUCCUGUCACAAGGAAAGUCCCAUAAUUACAACUCUCCACAGCAUGGGCAAGAUGAUGACAGCUCCAGCAGCAGCAGCAGCUCUGACAGUGAUUCUGGCAAGACUCACAGUGGUGAUAAGAAGAAAAAGGAAAAGAAAUGACUUUGAGGCAGCCCACACCUUCUAACUGAAUUGAAGUUCAACUAGUGAAGGGAAUUUGACGGAGA
rnacentral:lncRNA from 1 species